CCUACCCAGAGAGACAUUUCAGGUGUGACAUGUGUGUCCGUAGGUGGCAGAAAGGAGAGAGAGGCUGUGUUUAUACUCAGGAUUCUGAGCCAUGAACGUCUGAAUUAUGAGAAGCAGAACAUU
rnacentral:snoRNA from 1 species